rnacentral:rRNA from 1 species
GACGAACGCUGGCGGCGUGCUUAACACAUGCAAGUCGAGCGGAGCGGCGAACGGGUGAGUAACGCGUGAGUAACUGCCCCCCUCUCUGGGAUAACAGUUGGAAACGGCUGCUAAUACCGGAUAGUGGGGGAUGACUCGCGUCCUAUCAGCUUGUUGGUUGGGUAGUGGCAUACCAAGUGGACGACGUGUAGCCGGCCUUAGAGGGCGACCGGCCACAUUGGGCAUAGAUACGGCCCAAACUCCUACGGUAGGCAGCAGUGGGGAUUAUUGCACAAUGGGGGAAACUCUGAUGCAGCAACGCCGCGUGCGGGAUGACGGCCUUCGGGUUGUAAACCGCUUUCAGCCAUUACGCGGUAGUGGCAGAAUAAUCACCGGCUAACUACGUGCCAGCAGCCGCGGUAAUUC